rnacentral:rRNA from 1 species
AGUGAACGCUGGCGGUAGGCCUAACACAUGCAAGUCGAACGGCAGCACAGUAAGAGCUUGCUCUUACGGGUGGCGAGUGGCGGACGGGUGAGGAAUACAUCGGAAUCUACUUUUUCGUGGGGGAUAGCGUAGGGAAACUUACGCUAAUACCGCAUACGACCUACGGGUGAAAGCAGGGGAGCUUCGGACCUUGCGCGAUUGAAUGAGCCGAUGUCGGAUUAGCUAGUUGGCGGGGUAAAGGCCCACCAAGGCGACGAUCCGUAGCUGGUCUGAGAGGAUGAUCAGCCACACUGGAACUGAGACACGGUCCAGACUCCUACGGGAGGCAGCAGUGGGGAAUAUUGGACAAUGGGCGCAAGCCUGAUCCAGCCAUACCGCGUGAGUGAAGAAGGCCUUCGGGUUGUAAAGCCCUUUUGUUGGGAAAGAAAAGCAGCAGGUGAAUCCCUCGCUGUUCUGACGGUACCCAAAGAAUAAGCACCGGCUAACUUCGUG